UACGAACCGUCCAAACGUUAUUCGGAAUCACUGGGCUUACAGAGUUCGUAGGCGGUCUGGAAAGUUGGGUGUGAAAUCCCUCGGCCUAACCGAGGAACUGCGCUUGAAACUGCCAGACUCGAGGGAGAUAGAGGAAAGCGGAACUGAUGGUGGAGCGGUGAAAUGCGUUGAUAUCAUCAGGAACACCGGUGGCGAAGGCGGCUUUCUGGGUCUUACCUGACGCUGAGGAACGAAAGCCAGGGGAGCGAACGGG
rnacentral:rRNA from 1 species